rnacentral:rRNA from 1 species
GGGUUGUGAGGUUAAGCGACUAAGCGUACACGGUGGAUGCCCUGGCAGUCAGAGGCGAUGAAGGACGUGCUAAUCUGCGAAAAGCGUCGGUAAGGUGAUAUGAACCGUUAUAACCGGCGAUGUCCGAAUGGGGAAACCCAGUGCAAUUCGUUGCACUAUCGUUAACUGAAUACAUAGGUUAACGAGGCGAACCGGGGGAACUGAAACAUCUAAGUACCCCGAGGAAAAGAAAUCAACCGAGAUUCCCCCAGUAGCGGCGAGCGAACGGGGAGCAGCCCAGAGUCUGAAUCAGCUUGUGUGUUAGUGGAACGGUCUGGAAAGUCCGACGGUACAGGGUGAUAGUCCCGUACACCAAAAUGCACAGGCUGUGAACUCGAAGAGUAGGGCGGGACACGUGGUAUCCUGUCUGAAUAUGGGGGGACCAUCCUCCAAGGCUAAAUACUCCUGACUGACCGAUAGUGAACCAGUACCGUGAGGGAAAGGCGAAAAGAACCCCGGCGAGGGGAGUGAAAAAGAACCUGAAACCGUGUACGUACAAGCAGUGGGAGCACCUUCGGGUGUGACUGCGUACCUUUUGUAUAAUGGGUCAGCGACUUAUAUUCUGUAGCAAGGUUAACCGUAUAGGGGAGCCGCAGGGAAACCGAGUCUUAACUGGGCGUUAAGUUGCAGGGUAUAGACCCGAAACCCGGUGAUCUAGCCAUGGGCAGGUUGAAGGUUGGGUAACACUAACUGGAGGACCGAACCGACUAAUGUUGAAAAAUUAGCGGAUGACUUGUGGCUGGGGGUGAAAGGCCAAUCAAACCGGGAGAUAGCUGGUUCUCCCCGAAAGCUAUUUAGGUAGCGCCUCGUGAACUCAUCUUCGGGGGUAGAGCACUGUUUCGGCUAGGGGGUCAUCCCGACUUACCAACCCGAUGCAAACUACGAAUACCGAAGAAUGUUAUCACGGGAGACACACGGCGGGUGCUAACGUCCGUCGUGAAGAGGGAAACAACCCAGACCGCCAGCUAAGGUCCCAAAGUCAUGGUUAAGUGGGAAACGAUGUGGGAAGGCACAGACAGCCAGGAUGUUGGCUUAGAAGCAGCCAUCAUUUAAAGAAAGCGUAAUAGCUCACUGGUCGAGUCGGCCUGCGCGGAAGAUGUAACGGGGCUAAACCAUGCACCGAAGCUGCGGCAGCGACACUAUGUGUUGUUGGGUAGGGGAGCGUUCUGUAAGCCUGCGAAGGUGACCUGUGAGGGUUGCUGGAGGUAUCAGAAGUGCGAAUGCUGACAUAAGUAACGAUAAAGCGGGUGAAAAGCCCGCUCGCCGGAAGACCAAGGGUUCCUGUCCAACGUUAAUCGGGGCAGGGUGAGUCGACCCCUAAGGCGAGGCCGAAAGGCGUAGUCGAUGGGAAACAGGUUAAUAUUCCUGUACUUGGUGUUACUGCGAAGGGGGGACGGAGAAGGCUAUGUUAGCCGGGCGACGGUUGUCCCGGUUUAAGCAUGUAGGCUGGUUGUCCAGGCAAAUCCGGAUAAUCAAGGCUGAGGUGUGAUGACGAGGCACUACGGUGCUGAAGUAACAAAUGCCCUGCUUCCAGGAAAAGCCUCUAAGCAUCAGGUAACAUCAAAUCGUACCCCAAACCGACACAGGUGGUCAGGUAGAGAAUACCAAGGCGCUUGAGAGAACUCGGGUGAAGGAACUAGGCAAAAUGGUGCCGUAACUUCGGGAGAAGGCACGCUGGUGUGUAGGUGAAGUCCCUGCGGAUGGAGCUGAGACCAGUCGAAGAUACCAGCUGGCUGCAACUGUUUAUUAAAAACACAGCACUGUGCAAACACGAAAGUGGACGUAUACGGUGUGACGCCUGCCCGGUGCCGGAAGGUUAAUUGAUGGGGUUAUCCGUAAGGAGAAGCUCUUGAUCGAAGCCCCGGUAAACGGCGGCCGUAACUAUAACGGUCCUAAGGUAGCGAAAUUCCUUGUCGGGUAAGUUCCGACCUGCACGAAUGGCGUAAUGAUGGCCAGGCUGUCUCCACCCGAGACUCAGUGAAAUUGAACUCGCUGUGAAGAUGCAGUGUACCCGCGGCAAGACGGAAAGACCCCGUGAACCUUUACUAUAGCUUGACACUGAACAUUGAGCCUUGAUGUGUAGGAUAGGUGGGAGGCUUUGAAGCGUGGACGCCAGUCUGCGUGGAGCCAACCUUGAAAUACCACCCUUUAAUGUUUGAUGUUCUAACGUUGGCCCCUUACCGGGGUUGCGGACAGUGUCUGGUGGGUAGUUUGACUGGGGCGGUCUCCUCCCAAAGCGUAACGGAGGAGCACGAAGGUUAGCUAAUCCUGGUCGGACAUCAGGAGGUUAGUGCAAUGGCAUAAGCUAGCUUGACUGCGAGCGUGACGGCGCGAGCAGGUGCGAAAGCAGGUCAUAGUGAUCCGGUGGUUCUGAAUGGAAGGGCCAUCGCUCAACGGAUAAAAGGUACUCCGGGGAUAACAGGCUGAUACCGCCCAAGAGUUCAUAUCGACGGCGGUGUUUGGCACCUCGAUGUCGGCUCAUCACAUCCUGGGGCUGAAGUAGGUCCCAAGGGUAUGGCUGUUCGCCAUUUAAAGUGGUACGCGAGCUGGGUUUAGAACGUCGUGAGACAGUUCGGUCCCUAUCUGCCGUGGGCGCUGGAGAAUUGAGGGGGGCUGCUCCUAGUACGAGAGGACCGGAGUGGACGCAUCACUGGUGUUCGGGUUGUCAUGCCAAUGGCACUGCCCGGUAGCUAAAUGCGGAAGAGAUAAGUGCUGAAAGCAUCUAAGCACGAAACUUGCCCCGAGAUGAGUUCUCCCUGAGACUUUAAGUCUCCUGAAGGAACGUU